rnacentral:lncRNA from 1 species
UCCGACCUCCUGCCGGGGCGCCUCAAGGGCCCCUGCCCCACAUCAGAGGGUCUUGCGGUUUCCUGGUUUGGUUCAACAUCUCUGAAACCCAGAGGUGAAGAAGAAACCAUGGAGGAGAAUCCGAAACAGUCUUCCAGAUCAGACCUCUAAAAUAACUAAAUUCUUGUUAAUCAUUAGAUUCUCCCUUUUAUUUAAUGUGUAAGUCCAAGGGGAUUCCUUCUGCUUCCCCAUUCAAUUAGACAGCAACCUCUUCCUCUAAAGUUCUCUCAUCUGAAGCCAUCUGAGCAGGAGCACUUUGACCAACUCAAUUCUGCUCUGAUCUGGACUACUUCUCCCAGUUUAGGGAUCAGUAAAUUGCCAAACACUUCCCAAUUUAUCCCUGAAGGAAUCCCUGAAAAAUGAUGGCCUUUAUUCUCCCUCAGAGAGGGAGCUUGAGCUCUUGAGAAAGACAUGAAGGCCCUUGCCGCUGUCGGCAUCACUCCUUCCUCCCUAAUCCGGUCAGUUAAUUGCUGAGUGCUCGCUUCCUGAUCUGCGUGAUGGCCUCGGAACCGGGCUGCGUGUAGACCUGGGUGACUAUCAGCUCAGCUCCCAAGUGGAGGGCCUCGGAAGACGCUCUGUGCGGCCUACUAACAAGCACGAGUGUAGCACAGAGGUUUGACUGUGACCAAGUACAAGAAAUCUACCUUUUCUGGGCUGUUUACUCAUCUGCAAUAUGCAACACCUUGCAAGUCUGACAAGAGGCUUAAGGCAUUAAGACUACUGUGACCUGCUCCGUGCAACACAAUUAGAGGGUCAUUGAUAAUCGGAACCUAUCAAGAAGAGGACGCUGAAAGAAUACUGUAUUAUGUUGAAUGAGGAAUUGAAGGGAAGGAAGGCAUUUAGCAGACUGGAAAAAAACAGCAAGAGGACCCUAAACCUGUCUGAAUUUGCAAGGGUUUAAUAUUAAAAAGGUGACGGUACUUAUUUUAUGUGACUAUAUAUUGUAUGCCCCCACCCCCCCAAAAGCAGAAAUAAGACAAACGGGUAGAAGCUUUAGGAUGGCAGAUUCACAGCAGUUUAAUACGAGAAAGAACUUCUAACAGAACUGGUUGGAAAGGGAACAGGUUGUUUUUUUGUGUAUUAAUGGUGGAAAUCACAGGGAAUUUUCAAAAUGGAUGACCUUUGUGGUAAUGGUGGAGUUUGAAUUCAGUAAGGGUUGAAUUAGAUGACUUUCAAGAUCCUUCCAUUUCUAAAAGUUAUGAUUCUGUGACCCAGAAAGCCUAAUAGUUCUCCGACACCAGAAAGCAUGAAAGCUGGAAACCAGAUUAAAAAAAGAGCAGUCAGCCAAACAGUCAGAAGGUAGGUCAGGUGUACAGUAACAAAUUUAAGAUCUGAUUAUCUUUCAGUCUACCUAUCAUCAUUUAACUCUGGUAGACCAUGAAGUACAACACUCUCAGUGACUUACCACAUCCAUAGGUGCUCUGACUUAUUACAGAUAAAGAUAUCCAUUAUGCAUAAUUAGCUUCUUUAUCUGACUCAAAUCUGAAGCUAAAGAUUAUUCUGGACAUGAUUUCCUGGAUAGAUGGCCAGCUAAGUUGUGUUUCAGAUAGGAGGAUCACUUAAUUAACUAGGCAACACAGGUAUUUUAGUAUAUUAAUCACUUCCCUAGGUAGGCAAGUUCUAAAUCACCCUUUUCUCCUAUAUGAGGACACAUGGAGCUACUGUUUUCUGUUCCCGUGUUACUCUUUAAUCUCUGUCAGUGUUGUACUUUUGAACUUCCACUUUGUAACACUGCACUACACUAAACACUAUAUGUAGCAAGCAUUCUAUACGUUUGUAGAAGAUUUUAGUAAAUAUGUACUUUCAAAUGCUAUAUAACACAUCUGCAACUUGUUUUGCAAACUGGGGGUCUGAAGUCUUUGGACAAGUCUGCAUUCCACCACCUGCCAUAUGUGCUCCUUAACCUGGCUUCCAAUCUCAAAGCUGCAUUCACUUAUUUUAAAUCUUGAGGAGCAGGAUAGGUGUUGACAAUGUGUUACUUAGAAUGUUCCAAGUAUUCCCUAAUCUCUGGGUCAUUCCUGUCAAAACAGGAGUGUGACUACACAGUGACCAGGAUGCAAGCUGAUGAUAUUUUUGCUUCUAAUCUGAGAAAAGAAAUUGCUUUUGUGCAGACUGGUAUCUCUAGGGUGACUUUGUUCUAAAUGCUAAUAUCUUAUUCUAAAUAUCAUCAAUUGUCAAAUAUCUUUGAAAUAAAAUUCUGCAAAAAAAGUACACACUUCAGAAUUUCUGAAUAAAAAAUAUCAAACCAUCUCUUUAUGAUUUAAAUUGUAAAUAAGAGCUUUAUUGUUUGCUUUUGUUUUUAUUUUGAUGGAAAUAGGAUGUUGAGGCAAUUUCCUGGAGAUUAGACAAUGACAUUAUUUUAAACUUUUUACUAUCCAGGAAAAAACAUUCAAAUAAUAAAA